ACAAAUAAUGACUGCUUGAGUGAGGGAGAGUUAGUCCCUUCCAGAAAUGAACCUUCUAAUUGGAGGUACGGAGCCAGGUAUGAGUCAGAGAAGCCUUACUGUUCUAAUUCCACACUUACUCUGCAUGUAGAAAUGACCUUUUGAAGUCAAAGAGUCCCAGGCAGAAGGGAUCUCAGAAACUGCCACACGGAACCAAGAAAUAUCCAAUGGAAGGAGGAAAGAGGACAUCCUGGGAACCCUGAAGUGGGCAGGAACCAGCGGAAGUAGAAGACACUCUUAUCACAUGUCACAUGCUUUCCAGUAUGGGGAAACCAUGCAAGAUGCAGGUGCCUGAGGGCACAGUGAACACCCAGGAAUUGGCACCCUUCAACACUGUCUACAGCUCUGAGCCUAACAGUGAGUGACUGCUGUUUCGUGUUUAUGGUGUAUUUCUGUCUCUUCCAUUCAGAAAAGAGGGCAUGCAUGACAAACUUUGGUGGUCAACAUUAUGUGUGGUAAGA
rnacentral:sRNA from 1 species